rnacentral:rRNA from 1 species
UUUUCCUACGGGGGGCAGCAGUGGGGAAUAUUGCACAAUGGGGGAAACCCUGAUGCAGCAACGCCGCGUGAGUGAAGAAGUCAUUCGUGAUGUAAAGCUCUGUCGCAGGGGACGAAAAUGACGGUACCCUGCAAGAAAGCUCCGGCUAACUACGUGCCAGCAGCCGCGGUAAUACGUAGGGAGCAAGCGUUGUCCGGAAUUACUGGGUGUAAAGGGAGCGUAGGCGGGAGGAUAAGUUGAAUGUGAAAUCCAUGGGCUCAACCCAUGGCUGCGUUCAAAACUGUUCUUCUUGAGUGAAGUAGAGG